GAUGAACGCUGGCGGCGUGCCUAAUACAUGCAAGUCGAGCGCAGCGGGGACGGGGGCGGACCACUUGGAUACCCUCCUUUAACACUGGGUUAACUUCGGGAAACACGUGCUAAACCUGAUACUUAUAGAUGGAUCCGCGCUGCAUCCGCUAGUUGGUAAGGUAACGGCUUACAAAGGCAACGAUGAAUAGCCGACCGGAGGGGGUGAUCGGCCACACUGGGACUGAGAAACGGUCCAGACUCCUACGGGAGGCAGCAGUAGGGAAUCGUCCGCAAUGGGCGAAAGCCUGACGGAGCAACGCCGCGUGAGUGAUGAAGGUCUUCGGAUCGUAAAACUCUGUUAUUAGAGAAGCGGUACCUAAUCAGAAAGCCACGGCUAACUACGUGCCAGCAGCCGCGGUAAUUC
rnacentral:rRNA from 1 species